GACGAACGCUGGCGGCGUGCUUAACACAUGCAAGUCGAACGGAAAGGCCCUGCUUUUGUGGGGUGCUCGAGUGGCGAACGGGUGAGUAACACGUGAGUAACCUGCCCUUGACUUUGGGAUAACUUCAGGAAACUGGGGCUAAUACCGGAUAGGAGCUCCUGCUGCAUGGUGGGGGUUGGAAAGUUUCGGCGGUUGGGGAUGGACUCGCGGCUUAUCAGCUUGUUGGUGGGGUAGUGGCUUACCAAGGCUUUGACGGGUAGCCGGCCUGAGAGGGUGACCGGCCACAUUGGGACUGAGAUACGGCCCAGACUCCUACGGGAGGCUGCAGUGGGGAAUAUUGCACAAUGGGCGGAAGCCGGAUGCAGCAACGCCGCGUGCGGGAUGACGGCCUUCGGGUUGUAAACCGCUUUCGCCUGUGACGAAGCGUGAGUGACGGUAAUGGGUAAAGAAGCACCGGCUAACUACGU
rnacentral:rRNA from 1 species